UACGUAGGCAGCGAGCGUUGUUCGGAAUUACUGGGCGUAAAGAGUGUGUAGGCGGUGCUCUAAGUUCGGUGUGAAAUCUCUCGGCUUAACUGGGAGGGUGCGCCGGAAACUGGAGUGCUCGAACGUGGGAGAGGAAAGCGGAAUUCCUGGUGUAGCGGUGAAAUGCGUAGAUAUCAGGAGGAACACCUGCGGUGUAGACGGCUUUCUGGACCAUUGUUGACGCUGAGACACGAAAGCGUGGGUAGCAAACAGG
rnacentral:rRNA from 1 species